GUGAAUCAUCAAAUUUUUGAACGCAAAUUGCACUCUCCUCGGAGAGUAUGCCCGUUUGAGGGUCAGCCUAUAAAAAAUCGACAUCGUUGCUGUUUUGCGGUGGCGUUCGUAGGAAAUUGGGUCAUCUUAAAUCCUUUUGGUUUUUAAGCGACUUAAAAUUUCUUUUUUGGUUUAUUGAUCGUUUCUAUGAUUUAUUUCUUUCCACGUUUAAGGUAUCGAUUUUUAUUUGACGUGACGUUUAUAUCGGAUUGAGUUAAUAUUCUUUCUUUAUCUG
rnacentral:misc_RNA from 1 species